UUAGAGUUUGAUCAUGGCUCAGGAUGAACGCUAGCGGCAGGCUUAACACAUGCAAGUCGAGGGGCAGCGAGAAUAGCAAUAUUUGUCGGCGACCGGCGCACGGGUGCGUAACGCGUAUGCAACCUACCUGUAACUGGGGCAUAGCCCGAAGAAAUUCGGAUUAAUACCCCAUAAUAUUUAGAUUUGGCAUCAAGAGAUAAUUAAAACUCCGGUGAUAGCAGAUGGGCAUGCGUAAUAUUAGCUAGUUGGUAAGGUAACGGCUUACCAAGGCAUUGAUAUUUACGGGGUCUUAAAGGAUGGUCCCGCACACUGGUACUGAGACACGGACCAGACUCCUACGGGAGGCAGCAGUGAGGAAUAUUGGUCAAUGGACGCAAGUCUGAACCAGCCAUGCCGCGUGAAGGAUGACGGCCCUACGGGUUGUAAACUUCUUUUAUACAGGAAGAAAAUACCUUACGUGUAAGGUACUGACGGUACUGUAAGAAUAAGGAUCGGCUAACUCCGUGCCAGCAGCCGCGGUAAUACGGAGGAUCCAAGCGUUAUCCGGAUUUAUUAGGUUUAAAGGGUCCGCAGGCGGGCUUUUAAGUCAGUGGUGAAAUCCUACAGCUUAACUGUAGAACUGCCAUUGAUACUGAAAGUCUUGAGUGUGGUUGAGGUAGGCGGAAUGUGUUGUGUAGCGGUGAAAUGCUUAGAUAUAACACAGAACACCGAUUGCGAAGGCAGCUUACUAAACCACUACUGACGCUCAUGGACGAAAGCGCGGGGAGCGAACAGGAUUAGAUACCCUGGUAGUCCGCGCCGUAAACGAUGAUCACUCGUUGUGCACGAUACACAGUGCGUGACUGAGCGAAAGCAUUAAGUGAUCCACCUGGGGAGUACGUUCGCAAGAAUGAAACUCAAAGGAAUUGACGGGGGCCCGCACAAGCGGAGGAACAUGUGGUUUAAUUCGAUGAUACGCGAGGAACCUUACCCGGGCUUAAAUGUAGAAUGACCGUCGCCGAAAGGUGAUUUCCCUUCGGGGCAAUUUACAAGGUGCUGCAUGGCUGUCGUCAGCUCGUGCCGUGAGGUGUCGGGUUAAGUCCCAUAACGAGCGCAACCCCUAUUGUUAGUUGCCAGCGGAUAAUGCCGGGGACUCUAGCGAGACUGCCACCGUAAGGUGAGAGGAAGGUGGGGAUGACGUCAAGUCAGCACGGCCCUUAUGUCCAGGGCUACACACGUGUUACAAUGGUCGGUACAAAGGGCAGCUACCUGGUGACAGGAUGCUAAUCUCGAAAACCGAUCUCAGUUCGGAUCGAAGUCUGCAACUCGACUUCGUGAAGUUGGAUUCGCUAGUAAUCGUAUAUCAGCAACGAUACGGUGAAUACGUUCCCGGGCCUUGUACACACCGCCCGUCAAGCCAUGGAAGCUGGGGGUACCUGAAGUUCGUAACCGCAAGGAUCGACCUAGGGUAAAACUAGUGACUGGGGCUAAGUCGUAACAAGGUAGCCGAGGGCGAA
rnacentral:rRNA from 1 species